rnacentral:rRNA from 1 species
GACGAACGCUGGCGGCGCGCCUAACACAUGCAAGUCGAACGAGAUUUGAAGAGCUUGCUCUUCAAAUCGAGUGGCGAACGGGUGAGUAACGCGUGAGGAACCUGCCUCAAAGAGGGGGACAACAGUUGGAAACGACUGCUAAUACCGCAUAAGCCCACAGCUCGGCAUCGAGCAGAGGGAAAAGGAACAAUCCGCUUUGAGAUGGCCUCGCGUCCGAUUAGCUGGUUGGUGAGGUAACGGCCCACCAAGGCGACGAUCGGUAGCCGGACUGAGAGGUUGAACGGCCACAUUGGGACUGAGACACGGCCCAGACUCCUACGGGAGGCAGCAGUGGGGAAUAUUGCACAAUGGGGGGAACCCUGAUGCAGCGACGCCGCGUGGAGGAAGAAGGUCUUCGGGUCGUAAAGCUCUGUUGUCGGGGACGAAUGUACUCUUUAUCAACAACGAGGAGUAAUGACGGUACCUGAGGAGGAAGCCACGGCUAAACUACGUGCCAGCAGCCGACGG